rnacentral:rRNA from 1 species
GCCAGACUCCUACGGGAGGCAGCAGUGAGGAAUAUUGGUCAAUGGGCGGGAGCCUGAACCAGCCAAGUCGCGUGAGGGAAGACGGUCCUAUGGAUUGUAAACCUCUUUUGUCGGGGAGCAAAGAGAUCACGUGUGGUCAAAAGCGAGAGUACCCGAAGAAAAAGCAUCGGCUAACUCCGUGCCAGCAGCCGCGGUAAUACGGAGGAUGCGAGCGUUAUCCGGAUUUAUUGGGUUUAAAGGGUGCGUAGGCGGGCCUGUAAGUCAGAAGUGAAAUCUGGGGGCUUAACCCCCAAACUGCUUUUGAAACUGCGGGUCUUGAGUGAUGGAGAGGCAGGCGGAAUUCCCAGUGUAGCGGUGAAAUGCGUAGAUAUUGGGAGGAACACCAGUGGCGAAGGCGGCCUGCUGGACAUUAACUGACGCUGAGGCGCGAAAGCGUGGGGAGCAAACAGGAUUAGAUACCCGAGUAU